rnacentral:rRNA from 1 species
UACGUAGGGUGCAAGCGUUGUCCGGAUUUAUUGGGCGUAAAGAGCGUGUAGGCGGCUAGGUAGGUCCGUUGUGAAAACUCGAGGCUCAACCUCGAGACGCCGGUGGAAACCAUCUAGCUAGAGUCCGGAAGAGGAGAGUGGAAUUCCUGGUGUAGCGGUGAAAUGCGCAGAUAUCAGGAAGAACACCCGUGGCGAAGGCGGCUCUCUGGUACGUGACUGACGCUGAGACGCGAAAGCGUGGGGAGCGAACAGG